GAUGAACGCUGGCGGCGUGCUUAACACAUGCAAGUCGAACGAAGCACUUUAUUUGAUUUCCUUCGGGACUGAUUAUUUUGUGACUGAGUGGCGGACGGGUGAGUAACGCGUGGGUAACCUGCCUUGUACAGGGGGAUAACAGUUGGAAACGGCUGCUAAUACCGCAUAAGCGCACAGCAUCGCAUGAUGCAGUGUGAAAAACUCCGGUGGUAUAAGAUGGACCCGCGUUGGAUUAGCUAGUUGGUGAGGUAACGGCCCACCAAGGCAACGAUCCAUAGCCGACCUGAGAGGGUGACCGGCCACAUUGGGACUGAGACACGGCCCAAACUCCUACGGGAGGCAGCAGUGGGGAAUAUUGCACAAUGGGCGAAAGCCUGAUGCAGCGACGCCGCGUGAGCGAAGAAGUAUUUCGGUAUGUAAAGCUCUAUCAGCAGGGAAGAUAAUGACGGUACCUGACUAAGAAGCACC
rnacentral:rRNA from 1 species